GACGAACGCUGGCGGCGUGCCUAAUACAUGCAAGUUGAGCGCUGAAGGUUGGUACUUGUACCAACUGGAUGAGCAGCGAACGGGUGAGUAACGCGUGGGGAAUCUGCCUUUGAGCGGGGGACAACAUUUGGAAACGAAUGCUAAUACCGCAUAAAAACUUUAAACACAAGUUUUAAGUUUGAAAGAUGCAAUUGCAUCACUCAAAGAUGAUCCCGCGUUGUAUUAGCUAGUUGGUGAGGUAAAGGCUCACCAAGGCGAUGAGACAUAGCCGACCUGAGAGGGUGAUAGCCAACCUUGGGACUGAGCCAGGGCCCAAGCUACUACGGGAGGCAGCAGUAGCCAAUCGUCGGCAGUGGUCGAAAGUAUGACAGAGCAACGCGGAGUGAGUGACGAAGGUGUUCGGAUCGUAAAACUGUGUUGGUAGAGAAGAACGUUGGUGAGAGUGGAAAGAUCAUCAAGUGACGUAAACUAAGAAGAAAGGGACGGUUACUUACGG
rnacentral:rRNA from 1 species